rnacentral:rRNA from 1 species
GACGAACGCUGGCGGCGUGCUUAACACAUGCAAGUCGAACGGAAAGGCCCUGCUUUUGUGGGGUGCUCGAGUGGCGAACGGGUGAGUAACACGUGAGUAACCUGCCCUUGACUUUGGGAUAACUUCAGGAAACUGGGGCUAAUACCGGAUAGGAGCUCCUGCUGCAUGGUGGGGGUUGGAAAGUUUCGGCGGUUGGGGAUGGACUCGCGGCUUAUCAGCUUGUUGGUGGGGUAGUGGCUUACCAAGGCUUUGACGGGUAGCCGGCCUGAGAGGGUGACCGGCCACAUUGGGACUGAGCUACGGCCCAGACUCCUACGGGAGGCAGCGGUGGGGAAUAUUGCACAAUGGGCGGAAGCCUGAUGCAGCAACGCCGCGUGCGGGAUGACGGCCUUCGGGUUGUAAACCGCUUUCGCCUGUGACGAAGCGUGAGUGACGGUAAUGGGUAAAGAAGCACCGGCUAACUACGUG